rnacentral:lncRNA from 1 species
ACUUGGUUUGUUCAUGGAUUACAUAUUCAUGCAAAUUUGAUAUGGUGCUUUCUUUUGAACAACCUCGAUAUCUGUUCUAACACCUUCUUUGCUGCAAUGGUUACCGAUCUGUGGAGUGUUUACCAGUGGAGUUUAAGGUUAUGUUCAAAUUUGUUAGCAGAUGUGGCAGAAGUCAUCUUUUAAAGACUGCACAAAAACAGCAUCACUACUCACAAUAUCUUGUUGCAAAUCAAUUAAUCUGCUAACCAAUGUUGCUGUGCCCAACACUGAAUGGUUUUCCACUCAUGCCCAAGAAGAAAGCAUUCAUUACUGGUUAGAUAACAUUUUUGUAAU